rnacentral:rRNA from 1 species
AUGCCAGUCGAUCCAAGAUUAAGGACAGACAGAUUGCUUAGUUUUGCUAUGUGGGAGCCAUCAAUAACUCCUUGCAAGAAAUUGUUGGGUAAGGAGAGCUGCUCCAGUGAGGUAGCAUUGAAGAGUUCCGGCGGGAGAGCUCCACUGAGGCUGUUGUGUCCAACCUUGAGCACUUUCAGCAUGGAGCAACUGCCAAGCCCUGGGGGAAUGUUGCCACUGAGUUGGUUGAAACAAAGGUCAAGCAUAUCAAAUAAGGGGGCGUUGGUGCAGAUAGAAGAUGGUAUUUGUCCUGUGAAGGUGUUGUUGCUCGCAUUAAGAGCAACCAGAUUCUUCAUGGCCUCCCAUGUCACGGAUGGAAACUGUCCUGUAAACAAAUUGCUUGAGAUAUUCAGCACCUGGAGAGGAAGGCCGGUAUCUGAGGAUCGCAGCUCCUGCAGACGACCAUCCAGGCGGUUGAAGCUGACGUCGAGGACAAUAAUGCUUCUGGAGAACACCAAUUCCGUCGGUAGACCGCCUUCAAGCGAAUUAUGGGACAGGUUCAGGCGCAGCAGGCCAGGAAGAUCACCGAGGUUUGGCGAGACGCCCCCUCUGAGACCUCUGGAAGCCAACGAGACAUCGGUGACCGUGCCGUCGCCGCUGCAGAGGACGCCAUCCCAUUGGCAGCAGUCCGUGCCGUUCACCCACGACACGUUGAGACUGCCGCUGCCACCCGGCACAAGCCCGCCCAGGAAGCCGAGGAGGGCGCCCCUCUCCUGCUCCGUGCAGGAGCUGGUCGGGGAGGCGAAGGAGAACAGGAGGGCAGCGACAAGGCCAACGAACGGCAGGGACGAUUUGGUGGUGUAUCUGCUGCUGCUGCUACGGCUUGAUGAGCUGAGCGGCUGCAUGGUCCUCUCUCAUGAAACUCGCGUGCCGCAAGGGCUGCUUUGCGCUACUCGGACCCUGAUUGCCUAG